rnacentral:rRNA from 1 species
GACGAACGCUGGCGGCGUGCUUAACACAUGCAAGUCGAACGAUGAAGCCGGAGCUUGCCCUGGUGAAUUAGUGGCGAACGGGUGAGUAACACGUGAGUAACCUGCCCUUGACUCUGGGAUAACUGCUAGAAAUGGUAGCUAAUACUGGCUACGACCCUCGGAGGCAUCUUCAGGGGGUGGAAAUAAUUUCGGUCAAGGAUGGACUCGCGGCCUAUCAGCUAGUUGGUGAGGUAACUGCUCACCAAGGCGACGACGGGUAGCCGGCCUGAGAGGGUGAGCGGCCACGCUGGGACUGUGACUAGGCCCAGACGCCUGCGGGAGGAAGCAGUGGGGAAUAUUGCACAAUGGGCGCAAGACUGAGGCAGCAACGCCGCGUGAGGGAUGACGGCGUUCGGGUUGUAAACCUCUUUUAGUAGGGAAGAAGCGAAAGUGACGGUACGUGCAGGAAAAGCGCCGGCUAACUACGUGCCAGCAGCCGCCGUAA